ensembl:lncRNA
CAGCGUUUUACCUUUUGCUAAAGGAUGUGAGUGUGACCCACCUGAUUUUUCAGGACAGUCCCACUCAUUCUUAACUUUAGCUGAAUCCUUACAUUCUCUCUAAACAUUAAAACAUAUUAUUUAUUCUGUUUUUAGAUUCCCCAUUGUCUUCAUGCAGGGAAUUGUUUCUAUUCAUGCACAACAGGUCGUGCGAUCUCUGUUGGUGGCUGCUGUGUGUCAUGAUUAAGCAGCAAACGAACGCCCCGGUUUGGCUCAGUGUGCCAGCGUAAUUGAGUGCUACUUUAAUGCGUUUGGGUCAAACGCACGGAAAAUGGUGGGAAUUCUGUGGGAAAGUUUGAGCACUCAUAAAAUGAUGGAUUUUUAAGCACUCCCUUUAUUCCAACAAAAUGUAAUGAAACAGCCCAAUGUGUUUUUUUUUAUUAAUGGCAUGGAAAAAAAAUAUAUAGGAAACAUGUAGGGCUCCCUGCUUGGUGCUCCGUGCUGUGUGUCUCAGUCUGAUUUAGUUUAUACAAGCAUUUGUUAAGCAGUCAGGCGUGUAUGUGUCCGGACUUGUGUGUCACUGUUACACUAAUGCCAAGCUCCCUGCCAUGUUUUUCUUUUCUACAAACAUAAAAGAAUCAAACACCUACAGCUUCCAUAGUUGCCUCUGCGAUCCACUCUUUACUGUUCUUUUCUUUUGUGCUCGUUUUAAGUCUCUCUUUGAUAUAGCAGGCAUUCCUUGGCAGUUGUGUAACAUGAUUUGGGGCAAAAGGAGAGAAAAUGAGAUAGAAAGAAGGCGAGAGAGAGGGAGAAAGAGAGAGAAGAGGGAAAAUGGUUUGUCUUGCUGCGUUUCAUGUCCUGCUGUGCGCUCAUAUUUCUCAGCCCACUUCACAGUUGUGGGGUAGCUGGCUUAUCGUGGGGCUCCUCAGCUCUUUCCAUCAUGCGUGGCCUAACUUAAUCUCUCUUGUGUACUGUAAACUGCACCUAAUAACCCUGCACACGAUUAAAGCAAACAUCUUAAUAAUGGCCUGUCUCAUUAUCAGCUCGCAUUGGGAAAACGAAAGGUUCACUCUUGCCUCUAUAAUGUGGCUCACAAAUAAUCCAGAGAACAAGGCAACCUGCUUAGUUAGUGUCUCAAAGAAAACCAAAAAAAUAACCGCAAGCCUGACGUUUUAAACGGAAUUAUCUGCAUUUUAAGUAAAGCAAAUGUUGCUGAUUAAUGCUGUGCUUGAGCAACGUUUUCUGCACGUCAUGCAGAGACCAGGAGUGAGAUGCAGGAUUGAAUGAAUUGUGUCACUCUAGAGGGUGCUGUUUGCUGAGGAAAUGUGCUUUCCUCCCUUUUUUCCUUUCCUGCAGCUCACACUAAAUUCUGUUCCUCCUGCUUUUUAAACGUGAAGUCUUAAACUUAUCCGACCAGCGUAAAGAAGAUCGUAAUAGAUACAACAACUCACAUUUAGUGGAUAUUUUACGUAUUGUAUGUUUCAGAUCGGACUCGACUCUAAAGGCAAAGGAAGGAAAGGAUUUCGGGGGAAAUAAUAAGUCUUCGAGAGACUGUGUGGUAUUGUGCUGCAAGGCAUGUUUGACGCGAUGUUAGGCCACGUGAAGGAAUCCAAAUUCUCGAGAUGAGAGUUCGACCUUUAAUUGCAUGCUAGCGAUCUUCUGAUGAUCACCAAGAAGGGGCUGAGUAAUGGAAACAUGACCUCAAGAGAUUCAACAGGUAAGAUUCUGUCUUUUGUUUGAUCUUAAAGCCUAGGAGUACGUGAUUACACACAGUGUCGUCUUAUGAGGAGCAGCGACCGUUGCUAUAAACAACCACAGUAUGGUAUGUUGACUAAAUAAACAGAGGAAGAAGUGGUAGUUCACAUAUAUGAGAGAUGUGAUCAGGGUGGUGCCACUGGAUUCAUGCCCGUGUUCUUGCUGUUUUUUUUAUUGUGUAACCCAAGUCAUGACAGCACAGUAAAGAAUGCAGGGACACAGAGAUAUCACUUCAAACACAACUUCUCUCAGGAGCCUCAGAUCCUUUCAGUGGAACUGAAUGAAGAUAUGCUUUGAUGGCCCACCACAGAGUCGGUGGCUUUCAAAGAAACCUGUUGAUGGGAUUGCACAGUGCACCCAGCCAACUGAAUGAGUGGUACUGUAUUUGUGCCUCUCAGGAUACUCCUGGGUGUUCUCAUUGGAGGUCAGAUCUGCUUGACCUCAACAUGAGUAGUCAUUUUCUGUAGAUUUUUUGGCUUGCCUUAUCUUUUUUUUUUCUUCCCUUCCAUCUUGUUCUCUCACCAAAUGGAGAACUGUGUAUGGAUGGCAGGGUGCCAGCAGACAGGUACAGUAGAUGUGCUGAUGAGGGAUGGUGAUAGGGGCAGGCCUCAGUUGCAGCCUCGGGCAGAGAGAGACAUACACAGGCAGGCGUAGACUCAGAGGCAGGUUGAAACCUGGUGCUGUAUGCUGAUGUUUCUCUGCUUGGCUGUGCUCCAGGGUGAGGCAUGUGAGAGAAACGUGGGAAGGGAAAAUCCAGAAUGGAGGCCAGAAGAGAUGCACAAAGUCAGGUAAAGGAAAUCUGUCCUCCUUUCCCUGAUUUUCAAAACUAAAGCCACAAUGAAAAAAAGAAGGGUAGCUAAGAAUGUGUAGUGGUAACAAAAAGUGAGAGCGGGAAUAGGCGCAUGAAGAAAGAGUACAAGAAUGAGGCUAUACUGUACACUGAUGGAACGUGACUACUCACAGGUAAACCAACUCAGAGGUGCAGACAAGCAGAAAGAAGAUAGGAAACAUUGAUAGAUGACUGCUUAUCCUCUGACAUGUUCCUUCCCCGGGCAAAGAACAAGCGGGGCAGGCCCGUCCUGCCACUUUUCUGCCAUAAAACAUGCAGGGUUGAGUGGGUGGUAGACAACGUCAUGUCAUUUUGUGGAGGGUAAAGCAAAGCCUGGGUUGUCAGGAGAGCACCUCUGUGUAUUAUGUCAUCUUAAAAGCAGAUGUUGAAGCCAGAUUAGAUGAGAAUUCAGAAAAUAACUCAGCUGUUCAGCUGCUUAUUAAGCAAUUUGCUUAUAUUUCUAUCUUUAGUCUUAAAGAUGGACUUAUCUUUCUUUUCUUUUAUGAAAAAUAGUUAGCUUCAUUUGCAUGAUUACCUGGCCUGGUACGCUGUAUCCAACAAAGGCAUCUGGAGUUAGCCAACACACCAUAAUGUGAUAAUGAGGCUGUGGAUAAUUCUUCUUCUCAGGCCCAUUUCUUUUGUCAGCAGUUUUUUGAAAAGAGCCAGUUCUGUUCUGCUAAAGUAAUCAGCUGCGCAGUAGUUGAUCAGUUUUGAUGUUUUAUUAAUUUAAUAAUUAUUUGACGUAACUUUAAAAAACGUUGACUCAACAUUUUAAGCAAAACAUUGUUAUAAAGGAUCCAAUACUUAUCUUUUUUUUUCUUAAGCGCGGGUAUGAGAAAUGUCUCAAUAUUCAAGUAAGUGGUUUUGGGCUCCAGUCAGUCAUUAGUUUCUGUAUUAUGUUUCCAGGAUCAUACUAAAUCCUGGUUUGGACUGUUGGACCAGCAUCCUCUGAAGCAGAUGUUUGCUCCUGGCAAGGCUGCCGACAACAUGAGCUCCAACACUGGCAAUCUAGCUCCCAGGAUUCAGUGAGCAGCGUGAGCUUGGAGAAGCUAUGACAUAAACGCAGCAGGACGGUGAAUCGCGUUUUGCUGCUCAGACAUCAUGGAACAGAUCAGUCAGCCCCAUCUGGAGAAAUGCUCUAUAGAAGAGUCAUAUAUUUACCAUAGUUACUUUGAUGGAUACAGCAUGUUGUUUGACUUUAUUUUUCUAAUUGAUUUUAUGAUGAUAAUUUCCCGGCAUCUAUGUAUCUUCUCUUGUUUUGCAGAUUUUAUUUACAGUGUCGCUCAUUCAGUAACUUCAGCAUUUAAUGUGUAAUUUUUGUCAUUUUUGGUAAUGUGACUGUUUUCAAAGUGGCUCUUCUAAAACUGCAUAAGAACGUUUAUCCAGGGAGGAGCACAAAAGAUGUCUCCUACUGUGUAUAAAGACUUAAUGCACAUGUGAUUGAGAUUAAUCAGACGAAUCACUCAAUCAGUGGAUAUGUGAUUUUCAUCUUCGACAAAGAAGCCAUUGUCAUUAAUGUAAAACCAUGAAUUCUCCUUCUUACGCUGCAUUUUAUUGUGACACAUUGGCAGCUUCUGCUAAUUUCAGUUAAUAAUCCUGUCAAGCAGUUUAUUCUCAUUAUGAUUUAUGACUCCAUAGCUUUUGUUGUUUUUGUUAAGCCCUGUUAGCAGAAAUUAAAAGGUGUAUCCAAGCUGCUGUUUGUUUGUGUUGUCAUUCCAGAUACAUGAGAUAAAUGGUUGGAUGUUUCAGUGGUGUUCAUUGUUACGGUUAUUCAUGCUGGCUUCCUUACUAGUUAGGCCAGUAUGUGCUAGUCUAGCAUUUGAGGAAUAAAUGGGGUGUUAUCUUUUUUUUUUUUCUUCAAAGGAAGACAAGGUAAAGGUGAACUUUACAGUAAAAAUGUAAUAUGUUACAUUUAAACUGAAACAGUGAUUUUUAAUAGUUUUAC